rnacentral:rRNA from 1 species
GUUUUAGUUAUUUAUGGCUUUCCUUAUUUUUAAAUGUGCUAGAAAACUAAUAAAUGACCUAAUUUCAACACUGUCGUAGAGGACGACAAUUUUCCCUUACUUCCUCAAAAAUACUCUUAACAGGAACCAAUGAAAGGCUUGUGAAGAAGAUCUUGCCCCACUCAUCAGUGAGAACAUGGUGGUCUAUGUCGAUGACAUGAUUGUCAAAAGAAAGCAAGACAUCAAUCACAAAGGGGAUUUGGAAAAAACCUUUAAGGUCUUAAGAAGCUAUGACAUGAAGCUUAAUCCCAAGAAGUGUGUGUUUGGGUUAGAUCCGACAAACUCUUGGGGUUGCAUAGCGAACCAAUGAGGCAUUGAGGCCAAUCCUGACAAAGUUCAACCUAUCCUCGACAUGAGAUCUCCCAAAACCAUCAAGGAACUGGUUACAUUGCCGCCCUGGAUAGCUUCAUGUCAGGACCUACUGAUAAAUGCCAACCCUUCUUCAAGCACUUAAAAAAAUGGGCAAAGUUUGAAUGCAAUGCCAAAGCUGAAGAAGGAUUCACCAAUCUCAGGUCGUACUUAUCACAUUUGCGAAAAAUCACAAGCUCAACCCAAGGCAAUCCUUUGCUCCUAUACUUGGCAGUCUUGGACCAAGCGGUUAACGCAAUCCUGAUGGAAAGAGAGAAAGAACAAAUCCCAGUGUAUUACGUGAGCCUAAGGAAUACUUACAGGAUAUUCCGUUCUCUAAGAUGGUUGCAGGACUAUACAAGUCAAAGAACACCUGGAAGCGAGCUUUGCAAAGCCUCUAAAGGCCUUAUUGUGUUAAUAUGCUGAUGUAUUUNNNNNNNNNNNNNNNNNNNNNNNNNNNNNNNNNNNNNNNNNNNNNNNNNNUAGCUGUAAAUUGUUAGGUAAAACCUCUCAAGUAAAAGAGAAGAUACUUUACUGCUGACAGGAACAGGGCUGUAAGUGAAGAAGUUCAAAAGCUGGUAGAUGCAGGAUUCAUAAAGGAAUGUUACUACUACCUAAUGUAGUCAUGGUUAAGAAGCCAAAUGGUACCUAAAGAAUAGACUUGAACAAGGCCUAUUCAAAGGACUGCUUCCCACGCCCCAAGAUUGAUCAGCUGGUGGAUUCCACUGGUGUCCAUGGAUGCCUGUUCAGGCUCAAGUGAAUCACCGAAGCGACAAGACCUUGAAAGCUCCAUUUUCAAGUGUCAGUAGCGGGACGUUCUGUCAAUCAGGGAAGAUUUUGUUGACAAAACCUGGAGAUAUCAGAACUGAGAAGCUGACAUGAGUAAUGAUAAAUCCCACGAAAAACACGAUCGCCUGCCAGUGGAAGGCUUUCUGUGCUGGGUCAAUCUAUGCAGAGUGAAUAGGUCCCUAAGGAACCCCUAAAAGGGCUGCCAUUCGAUGGGUAUACGAAAGCGAUGAAGUUGCAUUGACUACAGAACCAUGCCUAUCUUAAGGAGUGAAUAGGAUGAUCGAGCCGACUCUCGUCGCGUCUUUCCCUCACUCUCCUUCUCUAAUAUGAACCUCGAGUCAUCAAAGCCUUGUAAAACCUAGCGUAUUCGCAAGUUUGUGUAUACUUGCCACUAUUUUCAUUGUUAAUAAGGGCGUUUAGGCUUCCAGGAAAAAACUUCAAAUUGGGAGGUUGAUCCUCUCGAUGAGCUGAUCGUACCUUAACCGAUAUAGGUGAACAAGUAAAGUGUACUAGGGUGCUCGAGACACCAUGUCGAAGGAGCUAGACAAAAUGACCUUGUAACUUCGAGAGAAAGGGUUAUAUCCCAUCUUUUUAUUGCGAAAACGGCACAUACUAGGGGGUAGUGACGUUUUAUUAAAAACACAAGACUCUGCUAAGUGGUAACACGAUGUGUGGAGUUUGACACCUGCCUGGUGUUGGAAGGUCAGAAGAAAAAAUGUUAUAAGCUUUGAAUGGAAGCCCUAGCAAGCGGCAACAGUAACUCUAACUAUCUUAAUGUAGCAAAAUUCCUUGUUGCAUAAGUAUCGACCUACACAAAUGGUGUAACGACUAUCCAGUUGUGUCUGACAUGGACUGGCACAAUUAAAUUAUCCGUGAAGAUGCGAAGUACCAACGGCUAGACAAUGAGACCCCAUGCAGCUUUAUUAUAGCUUCGUAAUGACAACCUUGAUCAAAUGUUUAGGAUAGGUGGGUGGUGGUGAUGCACAACGACCUAUCCUAAAAGACCACUCUUUCAUCUAAGGAUACCUAAAUGCACUACUCAUUUGGGGGAAGGCGAGACACUGUGAGAUAGGUAGUUUACCUAGGGAGAAUUCCUCCUUAAGAAAAAUAAAGGUAUGUAAAGGUAGGCUCAAACGUUGAUUCUACUUGUGAGCGUAAUGGUAUAAGCUUACUUGAUUAUGAGAUUGACUGGUCGAAUAGAGAUGAAAGUUGGCCAUAGUGAUCUGGAAGUCCUGUGUGGAAAAGCUCUCGCUCAAUGGAUCGAAGCUACAUUAGCGAUAACAAACUGAUGACUCCCAAAAGCUCUUAUCGAUGGAGUCUUUUGGCACCUUGAUAUCGACUCAUCAGAUCCUGGGGUUGAAGAAGGUCCCAAGGGUUCGGUUGUUAGCCGAUUUAAGUGGUAAAUGAGCUAGGUUUAGAACAUAGUGAGACAGUUCGAUCCCUAUCUACUGUUAGUGUUAAAUGGAGAACUGCAUGAGGCUAACCCUAGUACGAAAGGGCUUGGUUGGGCCAACCUAUGGCAUACUGUUGUUAUGCCAAUAGCAGCUCCAGGAAGCUAAGUUGGUACAGAAUAACUACCGUGUUGCACAAAACCCUUCUCCAUAUAUGUUCUUGGAUAAGGUUUUUGAAUAGAACUUUGAUAGGCUAGAAGUGUAAGCAUUGUGAGGUGCGAAGCGACCUUGUACUAAAGUGUAACGCCCCCAAUGC